AUGACAGCUCUGCUGAAGAAAGGGGCUAUAGAAGAAGUACACCCCUCUCAGAUGGAGUCAGGUUUUUACAGCCGCUAUUUUGUUGUACCAAAAAAAGGGGGCGGUUUGCGACCCAUAUUGGAUCUACGCCGUUUGAAUCUUGCACUCAGGACGAGCAAAUUCAGGAUGUUAACGGUAAAGUCCAUUUUGUCUCAGAUUCAACCAAACACUUGGUUUGUCACGAUCGAUCUGAAGGAUGCAUAUUUUCAUAUUCAGAUCAUCAAGAGACACAGGAAGUUCCUCAGAUUCGCUUUAGAGGGCAAAGCGUAUCAAUACCGUGUUCUUCCGUUCGGCUUAGCCCUGGCUCCCCGAACUUUUUCAAAAUGCAUGGACGCAGCUCUGGCCCCGUUGCGGCUCCAGGGCGUUCGUGUGUUGAAUUACUUGGACGAUUGGCUGGUGCUAGCUCAAUCACAGACUCAAGCACUCUCUCACCGAGAUUUAGUGCUGAAUCAUUUAAGAAGCCUGGGCUUAUGCACGAAUUUCCAGAAGAGUGUUUUAAUCCCCUCUCAACGGAUAACCUUUCUGGGAAUAGAUUUGGACUCUCGCGCGAUGACAGCCAGACUAUCUCUCCCGCGCGUUCAGUCUCUCACGUCAUGCGUGCGUCACUUCAAAGUAGGCCGCACAGUGACGGUGAGUUUGUGUCUCAGGCUGUUAGGUCUGAUGGCAGCGGCAUCCCCUGUAAUUCGUCUGGGCUUACUUCACAUGCGCCCUUUUCAGUGGUGGACGAAAAGUCAGAACAUUUCACCCCGUUGUUUUCCGCAUCGUACGAUUUCGGUGACACGGAGGUGUGUUAUGUCAAUAAAACAGUGGAUGUCAACCGAGUUCCUUCUAGCCGGAGUUCGGCUGGGGAUUUGUGCUUCCCGAGAGACUGUCACGACGGACGCGUCUUUGACCGGUUGGGGAGCUGUUUGUCAAGGGCGCCCAGCUCACGGAGUAUGGACGGCGACACAACGCGGUUGGCAUAUAAACAGGUUGGAAUUACUGGCGGUUUUUCUAGCUCUCCAGUAUUUCUCGAAUCUGCUGAUCGGCCAUCAUGUACUAUUCAGGUCAGACAACAUAGCGGUUGUGUCGUAUCUGAAUCAUCAAGGAGGAUUACGCUCUCGCCCCCUGUGUAGGCUGGCGAGAAAUAUUCUUCUUUGGUCUCAGAACAGAUUUCUGUCGAUCCGAGCGGUUCAUGUCCCCGGACGUUUGAACUUCGGAGCGGAUCUGCUAUCCAGACAGACUCUGGAGCAAGGGGAAUGGAGAUUACACCCCCAGACGGUGAGCCUUUUAUGGCAGAUAUUUGGAGAGGCGAGAGUGGACUUAUUCGCGUCGAGCACGACUACGCAUUGCCUGCUGUGGUUCUCCCUAUGCCCUCCAUCGGCCCUAGGCUUGGAUGCGUUAGCUCACGAUUGGCCCAGGACCAGCUUGUAUGGUUUUCCUCCAAUUCGUCUAAUUCCGGCGGUGUUGUCCAGGAUACGGCUGGACAGAGUGGAGCAGCUGCUGCUGGUGGCUCCGUGGAGGCCCACACAGCCGUGGUUUGCGGAACUGGUCAGUCUGGUAGCGGGCUCUCCAUGGGAGAUUCCCCUCACUAUCGCAAGCACGAGGGAUGAUUUGGCACCCAAGGCCAGAUCUGUGGAUACUGUGGUCGUGGCCUCUGAGCGGAGUGAGUUAAUAUGUCCCGGUCUUUCUGCUGAAACCUCCAAGACUAUAAUGAAUUCCAGAGCAGCAUCUACGAGACGCUUGUAUGCUUUCAAAUGGAAGCUGUUUACGACCUGGUGUGGAUUUCGUAAUAUGGAUCUGGUUUACUUCCCAGUGGCUUCAGUACUGGAGUUCCUUCAAGACCGUUUCUCUGAUGGAGUAACGCCAGCAACUCUGAAAGUUUACGUGGCAGCCAUUUCAGCUAACCACGUAUAUAUAGAUGGUGCUUCAGUGGGCCGUCAUCCGCUGGUCUCUCGCUUUUUACAAGGUGCGCGACGGCUGAGGCCUUUCCGCCCUGUGCGAGUUCCUUCAUGGGAUUUAUCUAUUGUGUUGCAAGGUCUAUCAGGACAUCCGUUUGAGCCCUUGGAAACUAUACCGGAUAAAAUCCUGACCUUAAAGACAGUUCUUCUUGUGGCUUUAUCCUCCCUCAAAAGAGUUGGGGAUUUACAGGCUCUUUCUGUUUCG
ensembl:lncRNA